rnacentral:rRNA from 1 species
GCCCAGACUCCUACGGGAGGCAGCAGUGGGGGAUAUUGCACAAUGGGGGGAACCCUGAUGCAGCGACGCCGCGUGGGUGAAGGAGCGUUUCGGCGCGUAAAGCCCUAUCGGCAGGGAAGAAGGAGGACGGUACCUGACUAAGAAGCCCCGGCUAACUACGUGCCAGCAGCCGCGGGAAUACGUAGGGGGCAAGCGUUAUCCGGAUUUACUGGGGGUAAAGGGGGGGCAGGCGGCAGCGCAAGCCAGGGGUGAAAGCCCGGGGCCCAACCCCGGGACUGCUCUUGGAACUGCGCGGCUGGAGUGCAGGAGGGGCAGGCGGAAUUCCUGGUGUAGCGGUGAAAUGCGUAGAUAUCAGGAGGAACACCGGUGGCGAAGGCGGCCUGCUGGACUGCGACUGACGUUGAGGCCCGAAAGCGUGGGGAGCAAACAGGAUUAGAUACCCGCGUAGUA